AUUGAACGCUGGCGGCAGGCCUAACACAUGCAAGUCGGACGGUAGCACAGGGGAGCUUGCUCCCCGGGUGACGAGUGGCGGACGGGUGAGUAAUGUCUGGGAAACUGCCUGAUGGAGGGGGAUAACUACUGGAAACGGUAGCUAAUACCGCAUAACGUCGCAAGACCAAAGAGGGGGACCUUCGGGCCUCUUGCCAUCAGAUGUGCCCAGAUGGGAUUAGCUAGUAGGUGGGGUAACGGCUCACCUAGGCGACGAUCCCUAGCUGGUCUGAGAGGAUGACCAGCCACACUGGAGCUGAGACACGGUCCAGACUCCUACGGGAGGCAGCAGUGGGGAAUAUUGCACAAUGGGCGCAAGCCUGAUGCAGCCAUGCCGCGUGAAUGAAGAAGGCCUUCGGGUUGUAAAGUACUUUCAGCGGGGAGGAAGGUGUUGUGGUUAAUAACCGCAGCAAUUGACGUUACCCGCAGAAGAAGCACCGGCUAACUCCGUGCCAGCAGCCGCCGUAA
rnacentral:rRNA from 1 species